rnacentral:rRNA from 1 species
UACGGAGGGUGCGAGCGUUGUCCGGAUUCACUGGGCGUAAAGGGCGCGUAGGCGGCUUGAUCAGUCGGGUGUGAAAGGCUGGGGCUUAUCCCUGGUGAGCAUUCGGGACGGUUGAGCUGGAGCGUGGUAGAGGGAUAUGGAAUGCCGGGUGUAGUGGUGAAAUGCGUAGAUAUCCGGCGGAACACCGGUGGCGAAGGCGGUAUCCUGGGCCAUAGCUGACGCUGAGGCGCGAGAGCGUGGGGAGCGAACCGG